rnacentral:rRNA from 1 species
GAUGAACGCUGGCGGCGUGCCUAAUACAUGCAAGUCGAGCGAACAGACGAGGCGCUUGCUCCUCUGACGUUACCGGCGGACGGGUGAGUCACACGUGGCUAACCUACCUAUAAGACUUGGAUCACUUCGGGAAACCGGAGCUACUACCGGAUAAUAUAUUCACCCGCAUGGUUCAAUAGUGAAAUACGGUUUUUCUGUCACUUCUCGAUGUAUCCGCGCCGCAUUAGCUAGUUGGUAAGGUAACGGCUUACCAAGGCAACGAUGGGUAGCCGACCGGAGAGGGUGAUAGGCCACACUGGAAGGGAGACACGGACAAGGCGACUACGGGACGCAGCAGUAGGGAAUCGUCCGCAAUGGGCGAAAGUAUGACGGAGCAACGGCGCGUGAGUGAUGAAGGUGUUGGGAGCGGAAUAAUCGGUUACUAGGGAAGAACAAAUGUGUAAGGAACUAUGCACGUCGUGACGGUACCUAAACAGAAAGCAACGGCUAACUACGUG